ensembl:lncRNA
CUCCCUCCCUCUCUCCCCCCCUCGCUCUCCCUCUCUCUCUCCCUCCCUCUCCCUCCCUCCCUCUCUCUCUCCCUCCCUCCCUCCCUCCCUCUCUCCCCUCUCUCCCUCUGCAAUCACUGAAGAAAAUUUUUCCAAAAUGUAAAUAAAAUAUGGUGUUAAAAACCUUUUCGGGUUUUUAAAUAUUCCCGUCUGCGAAUUUUAUGGUUUUAGGUCCUUUUUGUGUACAGUCCCGUGUGGAAAUGUGAGUUUAAAAAAAAAAAAAAGAAAGAAAAAACCUUUUCCCAACACAACCCCCCCCACCCCCACCCCCAUAUUACACAUCUCUGUGACUCACUACUCCGUAAAGUUAAGUUAUUGCUUUUAUACCAUGAACGAUGUUGCUUGGGGAUGAAAAACAAAACAAAAACAUGUAUCUGUCUUUCUGGUGUUACCGGCGUCUGUCGUUUUUAGUCCCUUCCCCCCCGAUGUGGCUGAACCAGUACUUGAUUGAAUCUGCUCUUGCCUGUAAAUAACGUGAUUUGGGUUUUGUUUUGGUUGUUUCACUCAUUGUCCCCCACACCUUUUUUCUUUCUUUCUUUCUUUAACGAAUGCGGUUUGUGGGGCGCGACGCCAGGCUGCCAAAGCACACCGAGCUCUUUAGCUCUUCCGUUCUCAGCCACCAAAUCCUGAUGGGAGCAAGCAUAUCCGUUUCCUUUCCGUGUGGAGGAGGUCUGUCGGAUUUGCAAACACCCCCUCACCCCCGCCCUCGCCCCACCUCACUGAAUGUAUCGUAUAGUUCACGACCACAGCAGCAGGAUAGUGACGAGCUGCUCAUCUUGCUUUAGCACGUAAAGAUCCAAAAGCUCCGGCUUUUUAUUUAUUCUUUUUUUUUUUGAAUGCAUAUCAGUCUCCCGUUUCCAGUCAUCUGCGUUCACAGUCUGCUUUUAUCCACUCAUGAAAAUCUGACAUCUGUAACAUGUUAUAAAUGUUCACUAUAACUAAAGGUAAGAAUUUGAAAGAUCACACGAGACGGCUGUCAUUUCCCGUAACAGCGCUGAGGGCUCACGUGACUCAUGUUAAGACUGGGGAAAGACUGCACUUACAUGAAGGUCGGAAGAUGUUUCUUUCAGGUUGAAGCAGCCUUCACAUCUGAUUAUGCCCCAUUUGUGCAUCAGUUUUGGGCGGAAAAUCCAGUAUUGCUGAGGUAUUCCUAUUUAUAGUCUUGAGUUUCCUAGUAAUGGCCUUGUUCAUUCUUUUACCUUUGAGUAUAAUUCACUCUCAAUCAUGCCAGACACUUAAAAUGCUAGAUAUAAUAUUAAAUAAUAAUAAUAAUGAUGUAAUAUUCAAUUAUUGAGGAUUUAGAUCAAGUACCCUUGUAUGCUGAUGUCAUGAAUUCCAUUAAAAAUAUAUGAAAUAAAAUCUUUAAAAAAAUAAAUAAAUAAAACAACAACCCAAACUUUUAUUUUGCCAUUCACAAGCAUUAUUAAAAUAACGAGUAAAAUCUGAUCGAUGAUGUCGUCCCCCGUUUUGCUGUAAACCUCACACAUCCAUCCGUUCUUUCUUUUUUCUUUUUUUCUUCUUCUUUUUUUUUUUUUUUGCCGAAAUGUAUAGCAAUGCUGUAGUGUUUGGACAGACAACCUUCACACUCGAAUUAUUACAGGCAAUAACAUCCAACUGUAAGAUAUUUCAUCUUUGCGUUAGGUUGGUCGUUUUUAUUUCGCUCAUUCGCACUCUUGUUGGUUUUGAACUUGGAUGCAUGUUUCUCUGAUUAUUUUAAAAAUCAAUAAAGAAUGAACAUAUCAGCUUGUUUGAAUUGCUAUAGUGAUGUUUACUCUGUAUGUGUGUGUGUGCGUGUGUGUGUGUGUUGUUUCAAUAAAGAUCAAUUAGGGAUUGAUUUAUUGUGGGUUUGAAUACAAUAAUCGAGCCCUUAUUAAAUAUCUCACAGCCUUGUGUUUACUGAUACAGAACUUCUGUCUGGUGUUACAGCCUGAGAUCCAGACCAAAAAUGUAAAAGGAUCAAUUUCAGAAUUUUUGAACAUUAUGGCCAACAAUAUUUCAGAUACCCUUUAACCAAGAAAAAUAGAUUUUUUUUUCCUCUUAUACCUGCGAGAACAUAUUGUCCUUCUGCAAUCAAUUCAGUAUUAUUUGAUUUAUACACAGUGCUUUUUCUUUCCC